UGCCCCUCAAUAUUCUUGCAUAAUCAUUCUCCGGUGAGUUUCACUUAAAAAAAAAAGUCUGAAAUUUUCCAGUAAAUCUUGAAUUUUUUUUGUAUUGUGUACUUUGACAUGGAAGUGGUGGGGGCAAUUGUUGGUUCAGCUCUAACCGAGCCUUUUAGGUUUCUGUUCGGAUCCAUGUAUGUUAGGAUUAAGAAUGUUUUCAAGAUCCAUUCAAAUUACAAGGAUUUUGAGAAAAACAUGGAAGCUCUAUUAGAACUGAAGCAACUCCUAGAUGAUGAUGAGCUGCAACAACACUUUCCAAGAACUCAAGUGCGAGAUUGGUUGAAGAGGGUUGAAAAAUUGCAGAAUGAAUUUGAUUCUGUGCGGUCAAUUAUCACACGGAAUGGCAAUACUAUUGGUGCCUCUGGUUGCAAGUGUUCACUGGAUUGCCGAUUGAGCAACAGUAUAGCGAAAGGCGGGGUGAAAGUUAAACAACUGAUUGGAGAUGGCAGAGCCUUUGAGAACAAGAUAGUGGGGGUUAAUCCUGUGCCUAAUACAGUUGAGUAUAUUCCCCAAGCAACAUUAUUCCAAGGUCAAGCAACAGCAGCAAGAAAUUUGGAGAAGAUGAAGGGUUUGCUGCUGAGAAAUGAAAAGGCUAAGAUGAUUGGGGUAUGGGGCAUGGGAGGUGUGGGUAAAACUACUUUAGUCAAGAAUGUGAACAAUGAGCUCAGUAAGGACCCAACAAAUCAGGAUUUCGACAUUGUAAUAUGGGUUGUUGUGUCUCAUAAUGCAACUGUAGAAAUCAUCCGAUCAAAAAUUGCUAAGCGAUUGCAUUUGGCAAUGGAUAAAGAAGAAAGUGAAGAGAGCGCAGCCACUCGUUUGUACAACAAACUUAAGGGAAAAAGAUUUCUCUUAAUUCUUGAUGAUAUAUGGGAAGGAGUUGACCUGAAUGCUGUAGGUAUUCCUCCACUUGAAGAUGAUAUUGGUAGCAAGGUCAUACUAACCACUCGAAAUUUUCAUGUAUGCCAGGAAAUGUGUACUGAUAUUGAGUUCGAAAUAGGUGGUUUGAGUGAUGAAGAAGCUUGGGAGUUAUUUUCUGAGAGAGUGGGGGAAGAAGUGAUCAAUGAUGACCAAAUUAAGCCGUUGGCAAGCGCCAUUGUUGAGGAAUGCAAUGGAUUGCCCCUUGCACUAAUUGCAGUAGGGGCAUCAUUGAGGAAAAAGACAGAGGUUGCACUAUGGAAAUGUGCAUUAUACGCCUUGCAGAAAUCAGAGCCUACUCAGAUUCAUGGUGUUGAAGAAAAGGUCUAUAAACCCCUCAAGUGGAGCUAUGAUUCUUUAAGAGGUGAGCAGUUGAAAUCUUGCUUUUUGUUUUGCUGCUUGUAUCCGGAGGACUAUGGAAUUGAUACUGAUAGACUAGUCCAAUAUUGGCUAGCUGAAGGUUUACUUGAUGAGCAACAAAACUAUGAGCAAUUACAAAAUGAUGUUAAACGCAUUGUUGACUGCUUAAUAAGCUCUUGUUUGUUAGAAAAGUGUGCAGUAGGCAUUGAUAGAGUGAAGAUGCAUGAUGUAGUUCGUGAUGUUGGGGUAUGGAUAGCAAAAUCUUCUGAAGACUGGUGCAAAUCAAUUAUCAAUUCUGGAAAUACCGAGAUGCAGAUCUCACAGCAACUAUUGAGUUGUUCUCUCAAAGUGAAGAGAGUAUCUUUUGUGGAUAGCAAAAUAGCAUUUUUGCCAGACUGCAGCAUACAAUGUCUAGAAACAACAACUUUGUUUCUGCAAGGUAACUGGAGCCUUCAUGAAGUUCCUAACUCUUUUUUACAAGGAUUCCAAAUGUUAAGAACUUUGGACCUAAGUAAAAGCAAAAUCAUGUUAUUACCUGACUCUCUUCUUCAACUUCUUGAACUUCGAGCUCUCAUUUUAAGGCACUGCUAUUUCCUGCGGGAGUUGCCUCACCUUGAAGCUCUGAGAAAACUUCAAAUACUUAAUUGUAGUUUUACUCCUAUAGCUAAAUUGCCAGCCGGUUUUGAAAAACUAACAAAUUUAAAGAUGUUACUUCUAGAUAGCAGCCUUCAGUUGAGAGAAAUUCCCACUGGAAAAUUUUGCAAGUUACAUAAGUUGGAGUUUCUGAAUAUGGAAGAUAGUGGUAUCCAAUGGGGAACUAGGGAUACAAUUGAGGCAAACGCACCAUUUGAGGAUUUGCUAUGCCUAAACCAAUUAACUGUCUUAUACAUAGACUUAAAAAGCAUUCCUUGUUUCACCACCCAGCAUACUUCUUGGUUCAAGAGAAUUAUAAAGUUUAGAUUUCAUGUUGAUCAUAAUGCAUAUUGGAGUAGUGAAAUUGGAAAUGAAGUGUUGUUGAGAGGGCUUCAUUUCUCAGGUGAUGAAAUGGUUGGGUUGUCGUUACUAAAUUCUCUUAGCUUUAGUAUUGACAAAUGUAAGGAAGUUGAUCUCAUGCUUGAUAACUUGGUUAGAAAUAGUGCCAGCCUUGGUCCCUUUGUUAACUUGAAGAAACUAAGUAUCCAAUAUUGUUGCAUAUGUGGGAAACCAUCGUCCUUGGGCAGAUGUAUUGUACAAAUGGACUUGGUACCUAAUUUAGAGUUCCUUAGUUUCUUUGCGGUGAGCGGAUUAGAAAGCCUUUCAAGUAUCAGCAAUUUUCUUGGGCUAGGUUUCACUAAGCUAAAAGAAAUAGAAGUUUAUUACUGUGAUGAUUUGGAAAAUCUAUUUGUAAUGGAUGGAACUCUCCAAAAGCUUGAAAAAUUGGAAACAAUCUAUAUAGAUGGAUGUGAGAAAUUGACACAAGUGUUCAAGAACACGCUUAAGGACAACAUUGUUCCGAACCUUCGGACCCUGUUCUUGUGUGAACUUCCUGCACUAAAGGGAAUAUGCAAUGCAAAUGUAUCAUGGGAAAGUCUAGAACAACUUGAAGUGAGAGAGUGCAAUAUGUUGGGGAAACUGCCUCUUGGUAUACAAAGUGCAGAAAGUAUUCAAUUGAUAGAGGGUGACCAAGAUUGGUGGGAUGAACUGGAAUGGGAUACUGAAAAUUUCAAAGAGCAUCUACAACCACACUUUAAUGCAUUGAAAAGUUAGAGAUGCAAAAGCUUCAGAAUACCUCAACAUGACUCAGGUAUUCUUCCUCUCUCCUGCUUCAAAUAAUCUAAAAUAUGCAUAACAACUCCGAAAGGAGUGGCCAAGUGGGUGAAUCAUGGGUCACGAACUCAAUUCUUGUCAAUACCAUCUUGAUUGAGCUAGUCGCACACAAGAGCGGGAUUUACCCCACACCAUUGGGUAGUGGUUGCGGGUUUCCCUUGUCAUGAAAAAAAAUGUAUAACAUUGAAAACGAACUUUGAAGACCUUUUACUCUGUUUAUAGCUGUGUUUUUACUACAAUAAUGGAGGGUGCAGAGGAUUGCAAUUGCUAAGGCUAAUCCAGCCAUAAUAGUUGACAAGAUUGAGAAUGUUUUCGAUUAUUUUACAGGUUGGAUUUUCAAUUGUUCCAUAUUCUUAUUUUCCACUAUUUUGUAUUUUAUUCUUAUAUUUAUGUUUAAUGUGUGUAUUAGUGGAUUAUAAUGGUUGGAUGAAUGUAUAUAGCUAUGGGUGUCUUGAUAUGUGCCUGCUCUUAUGUUUUAUGUUUACAUUAUGUAUUGAACAAUAAUAUGAGUUUUGGAGUGAUUUAUAUGAUUAUU